AGAGUUUGCUUUUGGCUCAGGAUGAACGCUGGCGGCGUGCUUAACACAUGCAAGUCGAACGAAGCACUUUUGAUUGAUUUCUUCGGAAAGAGAGAGACUGUGACUGAGUGGCGGACGGGUGAGUAACGCGUGGGUAACCUGCCUCAUACAGGGGGAUAACAGUUAGAAAUGACUGCUAAUACCGCAUAAGCACACAGCUUCGCAUGAAGCAGUGUGAAAAACUCCGGUGGUAUGAGAUGGACCCGCGUCUGAUUAGGUAGUUGGUGGGGUAACGGCCCACCAAGCCGACGAUCAGUAGCCGACCUGAGAGGGUGACCGGCCACAUUGGGACUGAGACACGGCCCAAACUCCUACGGGAGGCAGCAGUGGGGAAUAUUGCACAAUGGGGGAAACCCUGAUGCAGCGACGCCGCGUGAAGGAUGAAGUAUUUCGGUAUGUAAACUUCUAUCAGCAGGGAAGAAAAUGACGGUACCUGACUAAGAAGCCCCGGCUAACUACGUGCCAGCAGCCGCGGUAAUACGUAGGGGGCAAGCGUUAUCCGGAUUUACUGGGUGUAAAGGGAGCGUAGACGGUAAUGCAAGUCUGGAGUGAAAACCCGGGGCUCAACCCCGGGACUGCUUUGGAAACUGUGUAACUAGAGUGUCGGAGAGGCAAGUGGAAUUCCUAGUGUAGCGGUGAAAUGCGUAGAUAUUAGGAGGAACACCAGUGGCGAAGGCGGCUUGCUGGACGAUGACUGACGUUGAGGCUCGAAAGCGUGGGGAGCAAACAGGAUUAGAUACCCUGGUAGUCACGCCGUAAACGAU
rnacentral:rRNA from 1 species